UCUACUGUGGGUUGUCUUGGCUGUAUUUGUGGGCAGUGUGCUGAUUUUAGUUAUUGGACCUGCUGUGUUAGCAUGGGAAGUUACUGGGGGGUUGUGGAAAAUUACAGCCGAUGGGUGUAAGAACAAAGCACAGGAGCUGGUGGUUUGGCAACAGUAUCUUGUUAUAGUCGCACGAAGCUUUCCAAACAAGAAAGGCAUGUAGUUACAAGGACCUAAGAUAAGAUAUGCAUGCUUUCUUACUAACCUAUCAUGAGCUCAGCUUUUGUAAUAUGUAUGAGCUAAUUAGUUGGUAUACCAAUCAGUAUAAUCCACGAUAGUAGUUGUAAUGUAUGUAACAGUAUAAAAGGAUUGUGUAGAGAACAAUAAAGUGGACACUUUGCUUGCAUCAAGUUGCGUCCCCGUCUCUUCAUCGCGGCAAAUGGUGCCCCCCGACGUGAUCUUUGGUGAAGACUCCGCCGGAGGCUGAUAAUCACCUAUCUGGUGGCGUGCUGCGAGUCCCGCAGAACUGGGAACGCUGCUACAAGGAGCAGGGAAAAGCCGGCUACUGAAGUCAUCACCCCCGUCUGGAACGAGAGAGAGAGGCCCCCGUUGGAUCCCAGCCAAGAAUGUGAGACCUUUUCGAGAAACAUUGCAGCAGCCUCCUGAAGACAUUCCUGGGCCUGAUCCUGCGACUGAUAUAGAAGACCCUACCGAUCAAUAAUUGAAUGAAUUCUGUUCCAGAGGUUAACAAAUGGGAGCUUAAAUGUCUCCAAUGUGAAAAAUGUAAUCCGUGGAUUUGUAGAAUUUGUGUAUUAUUACUAACGAUUCCAUGUAUUUUGCAGUGCUUACAAAAGUCGAUAACCGCUUCAGUAAAUAAGAUUUUUCUUGUACAAGCACAAGACCUCCCGAAAACUCCCAGUACAGAAAUGUUGGUGAAGCAAGACGUCCUCGAACUGGUCGGGCGCCGACCUUGGGAAGAAGCAAAUGUUUGAAAACAAAAAGGGGGAGAUGUGGGUUGUCUUGGCUGUAUUUGUGGGCAGUGUGCUGAUUUUAGUUAUUGGACCUGCUGUGUUAGCAUGGGAAGUUACUGGGGGGUUGUGGAAAAUUACAGCCGAUGGGUGUAAGAACAAAGCACAGGAGCUGGUGGUUUGGCAACAGUAUCUUGUUAUAGUCGCGCGAAGCUUUCCUAACACGAAAGGCAUGUAGUUACAAGGACCUAAGAUAAGAUAUGCAUGCUUUCUUACUAACCUAUCAUGAGCUCAGCUUUUGUAAUAUGUAUGAGCUAAUUAGUUGGUAUACCAAUCAGUAUAAUCCACGAUAGUAGUUGUAAUGUAUGUAACAGUAUAAAAGGAUUGUGUAGAGAACAAUAAAGUGGACACUUUGCUUGCA